UACAGAGGUCUCAAGCGUUGUUCGGAUUCAUUGGGCGUAAAGGGUGCGUAGGCGGCGCGGUAAGUCGGGGUGUGAAAUUUCGAGGCUUAACUUCGAAACUGCAUUCGAUACUGCCGUGCUUGAGGACUGGAGAGGAGACUGGAAUUUACGGUGUAGCGGUGAAAUGCGUAGAUAUCGUAAGGAAGACCAGUGGCGAAGGCGGGGUCUCUGGACAGUUCCUGACGCUGAGGCACGAAGGCCAGGGGGAGCAAACGGG
rnacentral:rRNA from 1 species